rnacentral:tRNA from 1 species
UAUAAUAAGGUGUUAAGCACGUAGAAAUUUGAGUUCUAAAGUAAAGGAAUUUUUGUUAUAA